rnacentral:snRNA from 1 species
GAAUGUGAGGGGCGAUCCUGGGCUGCGACCAUCCUGUUACCCUCAUUGAUCGCUAGGGGUUGAAUCUCAGCUUGAUCCUGGCUGGCUAGGCGCGUGUCCCCUUCCUCCCUCACCGCUCCAUGUGCGUCCCUUCUAGAAGCUGUGCACUCAUUCGAAGAGGACGGCCUUCCCUGAAUAGAGACGGUCUUUGGUCGAGGGUAUAUGAGUAGCUGCGCUCCCCUGCUAGAACCUCCAAACAAGCUCUCUAACAAUUACUAAUGUAGACUUUUCUCACAAGUUUUGUAAUUCAUGCUGAAUUGCAAGUUCAU